rnacentral:lncRNA from 1 species
UCUGAGAACAUUGCCCGGCACAUGGAGCUUUCCUGUGAUUAUGUUUCAGCCAGCUGCCCCUGCAAGGUGUUGGGAGCAGAGAGCACGUGGAAAAUUCUUGCCUGCUUUUCAACAUCCACCCAAGAAGUAAUCAUUGGGCAAAACUGACCACCAGGCCUCAUCUCACUGCAAGGGGGCUGAAGAAUGACAGAAGACAAAGCUCCAGCUGGCAGAGAAAGAUGAAUGUGAGAGAAGGAAAAGUUUUAUCUAAGCCUGGAACCCAAGAAGAGAACCUCUGCCUGCCCAAAUCAGAUCAACACAAAUCUAUAUUUUCAAAAAACCUAAAGCAAGGAAAAUGUUAGCUUUAUAAACUCCACUUUGGAAAAGUUUUAGAACAGACCUUAUUAUAGAGUUCCACUAAGGCACCUGGUAUGGUAUUUCAUAUGGAAUUUGAUUCACAGAACUUUUAAUUUCAUCAGUAAAAUGUUAUUAACAACUCCCAUCUUGUAAGGCAUCAAAAGUUUUUAAAACAUGGUGUCCAAUCAAAAUUACAUCUGUCUGUAGGUUCCUUAAGGUUCUCCAAAUCACUAGGAAUACAGAGGCCCCUGUCUGUUCAAAUCAGGAAAAUGUGAGACCCUUUUCAUAAAGGAGAAACUGACAUUAGAGUAAGAAUUGGAGCCCAGACCUGGGAAGUUGUCAACCCUCUCUAUGGCCAAGAGGAAGAAGUGUGUGGGACCUGGUCAGUUACAGAACUUUUUCAGUUCUGAAUCUCACAUCCUUUCUUCAGUAGGCAUCCAUAGAAGGGAAUUGCUUCUGUGAGCGAGAGGCCAGGGUUCAUUCAAGGAGCAAACUCUCUUCCUCUUUUAUCUUGUCCAGGGAUGCCCAAAGGACCUGCCCUCUGCUGAUAUCUACAAAAGAUGAUAUUUUCAAAAUGUCCAAGAGUCUCUGAUCUGUGUGUUCAGCAGGAUAACCAAGCUACUGCCUAUCAGAGCAGGGGGCCUAACACCCCUUCCAUUACUGGUUGGCUCUGAUUAUCUUGAGGCUGCCAUGCUUUGAAGAAGUCAAACCACAUAGAGAAAUCAUCAGUGUUGGCCCCAGUGCCAAAGGUGUGAGUGAGGAGCCUUCAGACAACUCCAGCCCCCAUCCCCUGCCUGGGAGCCCACUCAGCUGGAGCACCAGAC